ACAUCCAUCUCUGAAUGGUUAAAGUGCCCAACUCAUAAUUGGUAAAUUUGCGGGUUCAAUUUCUGCUAGAUGCA
rfam:Triticum urartu cultivar G1812 contig969171, whole genome shotgun sequence.